UAAAGGAGUCUAACGAUAUCUAAACUACGUUGUAAUUUUAAACUAUGCAUUCAAUUUCAUUAUUUCUAUAUGAAUAAGUAAUUGUUGUUAGAUCAUAUUAUAAUCUAAUCUUAUCUCAAGCAAAUGAUUAUUUUAUAAUUUCAACGCAAAAAAUUAUCAUUGCCAUAGUUCACAUGUUUGCGGAUAUUUAUAGGAAGUUAACGUAAGCAAAUUAAGCUGAGCCUUGGAAAAUGGGAGCUUACCGCGAAUCGACCUUGCUUAAUGAUAUAAUGGGCCUUAAUUAAAUCGUCACCUACGUCAUUAUCAUCACUUUAAACAUGGAGAUCAGAAAGCAGGUCGAACAUCCGAGAGGCGGACUUUCGAGGCGGCCGCCAAUGGUGUAGUGCUUAUAUUUCGCAACGAGAAACGUCAUGUCAUGGCUGUAUGCAUCGCGGUUUACGUAACAAGUGCGAAUAGCUACAUGAAGACUCCGUGAUACAAACUAUUUUGUUUUUAUUAAAUUGUAUUAUCUGUGCAUUUUACGUAAGAAAAAAAUAUAUAUCAUUUAAAAAAAUAACCAACGGACGUGUUUUGUUAGACUCUUGUCUUGAGGGUUGUUUAAAGUAGUCACUUAAUUUCGUAUCACUCAAAGAAAUUGUGUGAUAUCAAAUGAUAUUGGCCUUCUCUUUUAAAGCAAAAAAAUAAA